UACGAAGGGGGCGAGCGUUGUUCGGAAUUAUUGGGCGUAAAGGGCUCGUAGGCGGUCCAUCGCGUCGGGAGUGAAAAGCUGGGGCUCAACCCCAGUCCUGCUUCCGAUACGGGUGGACUAGAGGUAUGCAGGGGAGAACGGAAUUCCUGGUGUAGCGGUGAAAUGCGUAGAUAUCUGGAGGAACACCGGUGGCGAAGGCGGCAUCCUGGACCGGUAUUGACGCUGAGGCGCGAAAGCCAGGGGAGCAAACGGG
rnacentral:rRNA from 1 species